ACACUGUACUGGAAGUUUUAGCCAGUGCAAUAAGGCAAGAAGAGGAAAUAAAAGGCAUGCAGAUUAAAAAGGAAGUAAUAAAACCACCCCUGUGUAUACAUGACAUGGUUGUUUAUUUAGAAUGUCACAAGGAACCUACAAGAAAACUCACAGAACUAACAAAUGAGUUCAGCAAGAUUGCAGGAUGCAAGAUCAAUAUAAGAAAGUUAAUAUUUCUCUAUACUAGCAACAAACACACGGGCAUCAAAAUUAAAAAUACAACGCCAUUUUCAAUUACUCAAAAGAAAAACACUUACAUGUAAAUCUAACAAAACAAAUCUGACAAAAUCUAACAAAACAUAGACUUGUAUGAUAAAACUACACAAUGCUGAUGAAAGAAAUCAAAAAAGAUCUAAAUAAAUGGUGAGACAUACUAUGUUCAUACAUUGGAAGAUGCAACAUAGAAAGACGUCAAUUCUCCUCAAACUGAUGUAUGGGUCUAAGGCAAUUCCUCCAUCAAGAUUUUUUUGUAAAUAAAGACAAGAUUAUUCUACAAUUUACAUGGAUAGGCAAAGAAAUGAGAAUAGCUAAAACAACUUUGAGAAAGAAGAAUGAAGUGGGAGCAAUCAAGCCACACCAACUGAAGACUUAUUAUAUAACACGGUAACCAAGACUAUGUGAUACAGGCAGAGAGACAGACACAUAGAUCAACUGAACAGAAGAGAGAACCCAGAAAUAGACUCAUACCAAUAUAGCCAACUGAUUUUUUACAAAGAUACAAAAGCAAUUCACUGGAGGAAAGAUACCGCCUUUUCAACAAAUGGUGCUGUUAACAGUCAAAACUGGAAACAACCAAAUGUCCUUCAAAAGGCAAACAGUUAAAAGAACCAUAAAAGUACAUCCAUACUAUGAAAUACUACUCAGCAAUAAAAAGGAAGCAACUACUGAUUCAUGCCAACAACCUGGAUGAAUCUCUAGAGAAUUAUGCUGAGUGAAAAUAGCCAAUUCCAAAAGGUACUUACUGUAUGAUUCCAUUUAUAAAACAUGAUUGAAAUGACAAAAUUAUAGAAAUGGAGAACAGAUUACUGAUUGUCAGGGCUUAAGGAGGGGUGGAGGUGGGAGGGAUGCGGUUGUAGCUAUAAGAACAACAUGCAGAAACCUUGUGGUGAUGGAUCUAUUCUGGAUCUGGACUGUAUCAAUGACACUAUCAGGGGUCUGACACUGUUCUAUAGUUUUACAAGAUGAUACCACCGGGACCAAGUGGGUAAAGAGUGCAUGGGAUCUUUCUGAAUUAUUUCUUAUAACAACAUGUGGAUCUACUAUGAUGCCACAAAAAUAUUUUUAAAAAACUGGACCUUCACUCACUGUUCUAAGGUUCAUCACCCAACACUUCAGAAUGUACUUACCUUCUUAACAACUCUUUAUUAUCUUGGCUUUGUGCUGGGAUAAGUGAGGAUACACAGAUAAAGUGUAAAAUAUUAUUCCUACCCUCAAACACCACGAACUCAAGAAGAGUGACAAAUACAGGCAUAAAUCAACAGUGAAAGACUUGAUAAGGUAGAUGGGAUUUAAGCAAAUCCUGGAACAAGAGGUAGCAUUUCCAAAAGUGGAGGUAGAGAGGGGGACACCUUGGGAAGAAGAAAUCAUUUAUGGAUAAAGACAGGGCUAGAAAUAAGCACAGUGCCUCUGGAGAGAGAGAGAUGUGUAUGUUGUGAAAUAACAGAAAAAUGGGAUAAGCAGUGUGGGGGUAAUUAUGGAAGGUCACCAAAAGCCAGAGAGAGGAGUUCAAAUGUCACUUAUUCAGAGAAGCCUUCCUCACCAACCCAGCCAACCAAAAGUAGCAGCUCCCCCAACCCACAGUCUCUCCAGCAUCCACUACUUUUUCUUUAUAGCACUCAUCACAAGCUGUAAUUAUUACAUACUUAUCUGCAUGUUUAUUUGUUUAAUGCUGUCCCACCCCCAGUUAUCUUGAGUAUUUGGCACUGGGUGUGGCACACAGUAAGCACUCAGUAAAUAUUAACUGAAUAAAUGAACAAACAGUAAGUAUUCACCUAGUUCCCUUCUACGCAGCUGCCCCACUCUUCUUCCUCCAUCAUGUCACUCUAUUCACUUUGGUCCCUCUCUGACCUACUGCCUCUUUUAGCAAUCUCUCCUUUUUCCUUGUUCUUCCACCUCAGCCUAGCUCUUAACCUAUCAUAAAGAUUAAAACUCUAUAUUUUAAAACAGUGGUUCACAACUUCAAUGUUGUAACACUCUUUUGAAUUGCAACCAAUUAGGAACUGUAUCCCAAGAAAUCUGUUACUGAAAACAAAGUAUUAAAGUCGUAGGUUGUUAUACAAGCAUAAGAGAUGUAUAUAUUACAUAAACAAAUAAGAGCAGAAAUAAGAGUUCUCCCCCUCAUGGCCUUACUUUCCUGAAUAUGAGAGCCCUUUCUCAGAACCGGAUGACCCUAUCUGGUCUAUGGAAAGCUAUCCAUCAAAUUCAGCCAGGACUGUACUCCUCAAGGCCACCAAAGUUAUGAAAAACAAGAAAGACUGAGAAAUUACCAAAGACUAAGAAGACAUGACAGCUAAAUGUAAUGUGGUACCUUGGAUUGGAUCCUGGAACAGAAAGAGAAUAUUAAUGGAAAAACUGGUGAAAUGCAAAUAAAGUCUGGAAUUUAGCUUAAAAAAAAUAUAUAUAUAUAUAUGCAGCACUAACAUAUGAUCAAGAUUUAAAUUUAUUAAUAUUACUUUAUAUUAUUAAAAAGAGAAAGAGAUAGGGCACGCACGUGAGCCAAGAGUAAAACUCAGGCCAGGAUAACUGAGGUUUGGAGCUGAAAAGCUCAUUCAUUUUGACUCCAGUCCCGGGCUCUUACUUGAUGCCAUGAGAAUUACUUUGCCAGCAAUUGCUUGAGGUUAACGACCAGUUUUCACUUCUUACCAUGUUCACUCAUAUACUCAAUAAAUAUUUAUUGAGUGCCUACUGCUUACCAGGCACUGUGAAGUCUCUGGGGAUAGAUGGCUAGAAAAGGAAGACACAAUCUCGGCUCUCACAAAGCUUAUACUCUGUUGGAGAAGCCAGGCAUUUAACAAACAUUUGCAUAAACAGUGAGGGCUCCCAAGAGUUUUAGACCCUGCUUCUUAAAAGCUCUAUCUAACAAUCCAGCAGAACAUUCAUUUGUUAUCACUGGUUUUCUGAAUAAGGCCUUCAAUGUGAACACAAAUCACCUGAAACAGAUCUGUGAUUUAUGACCUGUGAUCUGUUAAAUCACUUUUAACAGAUAUUCAUUCAGUUGAUGUGUUUUGGGACCUGAGAUUCUGCAAUUCUUCCAAACUCCCAGAUGACAGCAAAGCUGCUGCUAGUUCACAAACCACACUUUGAGUUAACAAGGCACUGAAGUACUGUGGAAACACCCCUCAAACUAGCAUGUAAAAUGCAAGCUCCAUAAAGGCAAGGAUAUUUCGUCUCUUACAGCAUACCCAGGACUUAAAACGGUGCCUCGCAGACACAUGACACUCCAUAAAUAUUUAUUUACUGAAUAAAUAAAUGGAUGUAUGGUCUAGUCGAGGUCUGUUCAAUAGCCACUGGUCACAUUUGGCUACUGAACACUUGAAAUGUGGCUAUACAACUGAGCAGCUGAAUUUUUAAAAAUCUAAUUUUAACUAAUUUAAACAGCCACAUGUGGUUAGUGGCUACCACAACGGACAAUCCAGGUCUAGACACUGAUGUAAUGUAAAAAGCACUGGAUUAAUAAGACCUAGGUUUGAAUCCCAGCUCUGCUGCUUGGCUUGUGACCCGGAAAGUUACAACUUCUUAGGACGUGAACUACUUCAUCUGUGAAACGAGGACAAGACCCCCACCAUCACCACUGCCUCUGAGGGUUCCUGACAGAAAUUAUUAUGUCAAUGUAUUAAGCAUAACAUUCUCUGCCGCCAGAAACAGUUUACAACCACAAAGACUACUUUGCCUAUUGCUCACACUUGCCAGAAAACGUCAAGCACGUUCGGUUGAAGGGUUGGUUAGCUCAGUGGCUUUGAGAAUGAGGCCAAGGUCAUAAGUUUGGAGGAGAGGGGACCCUCACUUAGCAAGGCUGACCAGGUAAGAGAGGCAAUGACAAGGCAAAUCAUCACAAUUCCUGGCAAAUCUUUAAAUGGGCACUGUAUUGAUCAGGGAUGAGUAAAUGACAUUUCAUUCAUUCAUUCUUCCAAGAAGGGCUGCCACAUUACCUAAAGCCCCCUCCUUCCCCUCCACAGACAUUUGCUAAUUCAAGGCCGGUCCUCUUCGCGGGCAGUGGGCCGGGAAGCCCCCGCCCCGGGCC
rnacentral:lncRNA from 1 species